CCUACGGGAGGCAGCAGUGAGGAAUAUUGGUCAAUGGGCGGGAGCCUGAACCAGCGAAGCCGCGUGAGGGAAGAAGGUACAGCGUAUCGUAAACCUCUUUUGUCAGGGAACAAAGGCGGGGACUAGUCCCCGGAUGAGGGUACCCGAAGAACAAGCAUCGGCUAGCUCCGUGCCAGCAGCCGCGGGAAUACGGAGGAUGCGAGCGUUAUCCGGAUUUAUUGGGGUUAAAGGGUGCGCAGGCUGCCUGUUAAGUCAGCGGGAAAAGCCCGGGGCUAAACCCCGGCGAGCCGUUGAAACUGGCGGGCUGGAGUGGGAGAGAGGUACGCGGAAUGCGCGGUGUAGCGGUGAAAUGCUUAGAUAUCGCGCAGAACCCCGAUUGCGAAGGCAGCGUACCGGCUCCACACUGACGCUGAGGCACGAAAGCGUGGGUAUCGAACAGGAUUAGAUACCCGUGUAGUC
rnacentral:rRNA from 1 species